CAGGUUUGUUGGUCUGUUACACUUAGGACACACACAUUCCGCAAAAUAGAUAGUCUUUCUCGGACCACAGGACAUCUCGGCAUUUAUUCUGCUUGCAUCGUAAAAGCAACAUGUCAUUCCUGAUUGCAAAGAAGAGUUGAGAACCACAACGACACUUCUCAUGGUCAAAUGAAAGCGAAGUUAGAGAUGGCUUGUCCUGUUCCAAGGGUUGUUAAGAUCCUCAUGGCCCUGAAAUCUUUCAAACAUAGGUUUUAAGUCGUAGCAAAUUAUAAAUUUAAACAAAAUAGUUAUUUACAUACAAUGUGCUAAGUGAUUCACACAUAAGAAGUUUAGAAGUUUGAGUCUUCUUCAUGCAUCUAUCUCUU